CCCUUAGAUGUUCUGGGCCGCACGCGCGCUACACUGAUUCAUGCAACAAGUUUUGUCCUUGGCUGAUAGGCCUGGGUAAUCUUUGAACGUGAAUCGUGAUGGGGAUAGAUGAUUGCAAUUAUUCAUCUUCAACGAGGAAUUCCUAGUAAACGCAAGUCAUCAGCUUGCAUUGAUUACGUCCCUGCCCUUUGUACACACCGCCCGUCGCACCUACCGAUUGAAUGGUCCGGUGAAAUCUUCGGAUCUGAGAGAUGUCUGAUUAAUUUCGGACGCCUUUUGGAAAAGUUGCUUAAACCUUACCAUUUAGAGGAAGUUGAAGUCGUAACA
rnacentral:rRNA from 1 species